UCCUCUCAGGAGGGAAUAUUCAGUUCUCUUGUAAAGAGGUAGUGGGGACAUAAAGGGGUCAAGUUUCAGUCACCUCAACUGAAAAUGGAGGUGAGGCUUUGAGUCUACUGCAGUCUAAAGUAGAGCCCGAGCUCCAAAAGGCGGAAGGGUGAGCCUGUUUAGGGACACAUGGUGACUCCAAAUCUCCAGUUCAGUCCUGAAAGACUGGAUGUGAACAAGAGGUGAUGUCUACAGGUGCAGCAGCGACCGUGAGGUGAUGAGCAUGGAGGCGAGCACCCCCCAGCUAAGGACAGUUGGGGAGGGGACAGGCGCCUGUGUGUCCGGGCUUUGUGGCCUCCAUCUGCCCUGGCAGUUGAGAAGAAGGAGCUCCCUUGGUUCAGGAUGCUGAGGGCAGAGAGAUGUCUGGGUCAUUAACAUGCUUCUCCACAGCCGCAAAAUUCCAAACUUCCAACAAGUUCUUGGACUGUCUCCUUUGGGUCCAGUGACUGUCAAAUACUGAUUAGAACAUUGCAGAAAAUGGGCUCACAAGGCCUGGAAGAAUUCCAAAUCAUUUUGUGGGCUCAUCAAGCCCUCUGUGCACACUGGGAGAAAUGUGGGCAAGGCAGCAGCUACCUUAAGGAGCACUGAGUCCCACACAGAUGCCUCUGCACAAUGAGUUUUGAUACAUGUCCAAGUUCAUGGAAUCGGAUCAGGACAUCUGAAUCAGAAGAAGCUUUCCAAAGUCAUUUAAAUCUACCACUCUUUCCCAUUUUACCUUCACACAGACAUACGUAAUUCUUUAACAUUUACUCUGUGCAAAACACUGGAGGCAGUGUGACCCAAGAGUAAAGCCCUACAUACUGGUCAGCCAAAGCUAAGAAGGAAGGGGCCAUGGAGAAGCAGCAAUACCCGGCCUAACAGAAAGCUGCCAGGUGGAGCGAGGAGUUUUCUGAGCAUAGUUGGAGCAGCAGAAGGGACUCCCUGUGUGGACGAUGUCAUCAAAGCAGCGCCAUGGAAACGGGUCACUUCGCUGAUCAGCACCAUGUGAAUCCCAUGUGCUGUCGAGCUCUGGACUGUUCUAAGCAAGCCUGGGUUUGAAAGACUUCGUCCUCUUAAAGAAGACUGUGGAGUCUAUGUUUGCCUGAGGUGUUACAUAGCCUUACGUUUGCACAUUAACUGACCUCCUGUUUUGACAUGGACCUCUUACUUGCUGUUUCAGUUUCCAUAAAAUUCAGUUGAUCUUAAAGUUCAUUUUCAUACUGCACAUAAAAAUAAAAAU